AUUGAACGCUGGCGGCAUGCUUUACACAUGCAAGUCGAACGGUAACAGGCCUUCGGGUGCUGACGAGUGGCGAACGGGUGAGUAAUGUAUCGGAACGUACCCAGAGGUGGGGGAUAACGCAGCGAAAGCUGUGCUAAUACUGCAUGUGAUCUGAGGAUGAAAGCGGGGGACCGAGCAGCAAUGUUUGGCCUCGCGCCUUUGGAGCGGCCGAUGUCGGAUUAGCUAGUUGGUGGGGUAAAGGCCUACCAAGGCGACGAUCCGUAGCUGGUCUGAGAGGACGACCAGCCACACUGGGACUGAGACACGGCCCAGACUCCUACGGGAGGCAGCAGUGGGGAAUUUUGGACAAUGGGCGCAAGCCUGAUCCAGCAAUGCCGCGUGCGGGAAGAAGGCCUUCGGGUUGUAAACCGCUUUUGGCAGGAACGAAACGGUGUCCGCUAAUACCGGGCGCUAAUGACGGUACCUGCAGAAUAAGCACCGGCUAACUACGUG
rnacentral:rRNA from 1 species